CCUACGGGAGGCAGCAGUGGGGAAUAUUGCACAAUGGGCGCAACCCUGAUGCAGCCACGCCGCGUGAGUGAAGAAGUACUUCGGUAUGUAAAGCUCUAUCAGCAGGGAAGAAAAUGACGGUACCUGAUUCAGAAGCCCCGGCUAACUACGUGCCAGCAGCCGCGGUAAUACGUAGGGGGCAAGCGUUAUCCGGAAUUACUGGGUGGAAAGGGAGCGUAGACGGCAGCACAAGUCUGGAGUGAAAUGCCGGGGCUUAACCCCGGAACUGCUUUGGAAACUGGGCAGCUAGAGUGCAGGAGAGGUAAGUGGAAUUCCUAGUGUAGCGGUGAAAUGCGUAGAUAUUAGGAGGAACACCAGUGGCGAAGGCGGCUUACUGGACUGUGACUGACGUUGAGGCUCGAAAGCGUGGGGAGCAAACAGGAUUAGAUACCCGGGUAGUC
rnacentral:rRNA from 1 species